AGACGUCUAUCAAAUAUCAAAACUACAACGGGUCGAACUCCACCAGCAACUUUGGUUACGCUAUAUCCAAAACCCAUAACCAUGAAUAAAUAUUCCAGAAUAAUAUGUAUUUUAGUGACUUAAUAAUUGACUAGACUAUGGUGGUGGCCUUAAAGUUAUAUAAUACUAGGUGAUUUUUCCGUGCUCAUCUGUGGAUAUAAUAUUUAGAAAGUAAAUACAUUAUAAUAAUUUAUGAAUAUUUUGUUUUUAAUUUUAGUUAUUCUGUUAUUUAUGUUUUAUUAAUAUGCAUAGUUUAUUUAAAUAAUAUUUUGUUAUUUUAGUUAGACGUAUAAUUUUAGAUAUAAAAUAUCUCAUUAUCAUUUGGAUAUAUUAGAUAACAUUUACUUUUUUUUAUUCAACUAUAAUAUUUUUUAUACAGAUUUAAAUUUUGAUUUUUUUAAUUUUUUUCCAUGUAGUUUCAUUCUGGUCUUAGAUUUGUAAAUAUAUUUUAGUAAGAAUAUGCAUAAUUUAAUAUAUGUUGUUUUGAAAAUCAAAUGGUAAAAGUAAACUAAAGUGUUGAUCAAUUCAAAAUUAUAUAAAUAAAUAUAACAAUGAUAGUCUUUUGAAACCUUAUGCAUAUAUAUAUAUAUAAAAGUUACACAAAAUACUUAAUUGCAAUAUUUGGAUAAUAUAUUUAUAUUAUUAGUUGAGAAUUCAUAUUUAUUUAGUAAUAUGUUAAGUCGUUAUAUAAUUUAUAUGUAUAAAAUAUUACUAUAAAUAAAAAUAUAUUAUUUGUAUAUAAAAUUCAGAUUGGUCUAG
rnacentral:lncRNA from 1 species